rnacentral:rRNA from 1 species
AUUGAACGCUCGCGGAAUGCUUUACACAUGCAAGUCGAACGGCAGCACGGACUUCGGUCUGGUGGCGAGUGGCGAACGGGUGAGUAAUACAUCGGAACGUGCCCAGUCGUGGGGGAUAACGUAGUGAAAAUUACGCUAAUACCGCAUACGAUCUAAGGAUGAAAGCGGGGGAUCGCAAGACCUCGCGCGAUUGGAGCGGCCGAUAUCAGAUUAGGUAGUUGGUGAGGUAAAGGCUCACCAAGCCAACGAUCUGUAGCUGGUCUGAGAGGACGACCAGCCACACUGGAACUGAGACACGGUCCAGACUCCUACGGGAGGCAGCAGUGGGGAAUUUUGGACAAUGGACGCAAGUCUGAUCCAGCCAUUCCGCGUGCAGGACGAAGGCCUUCGGGUUGUAAACUGCUUUUGUACAGAACGAAAAGGUCUCUAUUAAUACUAGGGGCUCAUGACGGUACUGUAAGAAUAAGCACCGGCUAACUACGUGCCAGCCGCCGCCGUAAUAC